UUUCUCUCUUUUCUUCUUUUUCCUCUAUUUCUUGUUAGUUUUGGAGAUAGCUUGUGAGAGACAAAAGUGUUCAUCUCUUCAUUUCAUUCAAGAUGGGUACAAGAAUCAAGAUUUUGAAUGAGUUAUGUUCGAGCCCUAAGUUUAUCCAUGAAAGUUUUAGUGAGAGAGUUUUGGGGUUUGAAAUGCUUAGAUAGAAUGAAGAGUGAUGAGUAACUCUCUUCCACCUCCAAGGUUGUAUUCUCUUAAUGCAAGUGAAGAAAUCAAAUUAAGGGAGAAGUAAUUAUUAGAGAGUCUUGUGGAAGCUAAAAGGCGAAGCAUGAAUGUAUCUUUUGAGGGAGAACCGCAACAUUUUUAAUGAAGGUAUUAGAUGCUUGCUUGAGGGAAGACUUAUGGUAAGUCGACCGGUUCUUUAUUAUGAUGAUGCAUGAUGACAGGGAAGCUUGAGGUUCAAGUUUUGGGGAUCACAAUGGGAUAAUGAUGCUAUGAGAGAAGUCUCAGUGGGAGUAUCAGAGUACGACGAUGAGGACUUUAAGUGGGCAUGUAGAGAUUAUAAAUUUAUUCGAGUUGGUUGUAAAUUGUUUGUUAGGUAUUUCAAUUUUCAAAUAAAGGAGUUUCACCCUUUCCUAAAUGUUUAUAUUUUUUUUAUAAUGACAUUAUUAGUUUUUAAACCUUUCAAGUAAACUGCAUUUUUUGA